GAUUCUCAAUGUUUGCUAACCUCCACGUGGUGAGAAUCGGGCAACGUUUAUUUAUAAACGGCAAAGAGGCAAUA
rnacentral:ribozyme from 1 species